rnacentral:rRNA from 1 species
GACGAACGCUGGCGGCGUGCUUAACACAUGCAAGUCGAACGGAAAGGCCCUGCUUUUGUGGGGUGCUCGAGUGGCGAACGGGUGAGUAACACGUGAGUAACCUGCCCUUGACUUUGGGAUAACUUCAGGAAACUGGGGCUAAUACCGGAUAGGAGCUCCUGCUGCAUGGUGGGGGUUGGAAAGUUUCGGCGGUUGGGGAUGGACUCGCGGCUUAUCAGCUUGUUGGUGGGGUAGUGGCUUACCAAGGCUUUGACGGGUAGCCGGCCUGAGAAGGUGACCGGCCACAUUGGGCCUGCGAUGCGGCCCCGGCUCCUUCGGGAGGCAACAGUGGGGAAUAUGGCCCCAUGGGCGGAAGCCUGAUGCAGCAACGCCGCGUGCGGGAUGACGGCCUUCGGGUUGUAAACCGCUUUCGCCUGUGACGAAGCGGGAGUGACGGUAAUGGGUAAAGAAGCACCGGCUAACUACGUG